rnacentral:rRNA from 1 species
UACGGAGGGUGCAAACGUUGCUCGGAAUUACUGGGCGUAAAGCGCACGUAGGCGGCUUCUUAAGUCGGUGGUGAAAUCCUGGAGCUCAACUCCAGAACUGCCUUCGAUACUGGGAAGCUCGAGUCCGGGAGAGGUGAGUGGAACUGCGAGUGUAGAGGUGAAAUUCGUAGAUAUUCGCAAGAACACCAGUGGCGAAGGCGGCUCACUGGCCCGGUACUGGCGCUGAGGUGCGAAAGCGUGGGGAGCAAACAGG